rnacentral:rRNA from 1 species
GACAGAGGGUGCAAACGUUGUUCGGAAUUACUGGGCGUAAAGCGCGUGUAGGCGGCUCGGCAAGUCGGGUGUGAAAGCCCUGGGCUUAACCUAGGAAGUGCACUCGAAACUGCCAAGCUUGAGUUCUGGAGAGGAAGGCGGAAUUCUCGGUGUAGAGGUGAAAUUCGUAGAUAUCGAGAGGAACACCGGUGGCGAAGGCGGCAUCCUGGACCGAGUACUGACGCUGAUGAGCGAAAGCCAGGGGAGCAAACGGG